AGAUCACCAGGCGAUGGCAAGAUUAACGAGACUGAAGAAUGAGCGAUAGUUCAUGCAGAAAGGAGCGAUGGAUGGUCGCAGAUUGUACAGAGUGAUGUUAAGCCUCCAGGCACGUGGUUAACAGAAGUACAGUGUGAAACAGACUUUUCUGCCCUAUGAGCUGCACUGCACAGUGAUCGUCCUAUUUAAAACAGGAUAAUUUACAAUGACCAAUUAACUUACCAACCGGUACGCCUUUGGACUGUGGAGGAUUGCCGAGCACCUGAAGAAAACCCACAUGCUCACAGGCAGGACGUACAAACUUCUUACAGAGGACACCGGAACUGAGCUCCAAACUCCAAUACCCUGAGCUAACCCCUAGGCUACCGUGGCACCCCGAUAAAUUUCAAAGUGUAUAUAUUUCAGUUACUGUA